GUUCCCUGGACACUUUCUUUCCAGGAUGCAGCUUGUAUUUCCUGGCUGGCUCAUGCUUCGAUGUGCCUGAAUUGUCCUUCUUCACUAAAACUGGCAGUGUGAAAAAGCUGAGCAUGAGCCCCAUGUUUUAAUUAGAUAUGUGCCAAGCUAUCAGAGAAAUGGAUCAGAAACAGCGGUUCCAGUAAUUGCAGCCAACUUUUAUCCAUAUCCAAGAGGAGGGAGCCAUGAACUGCAGAAGAAACUGCUUUCUGGGUAGCUUGCUGACCCCUGUGGUUGUUUCUCCACCAGCUUGUGUACCAUAUCCCAUCCCAAGGCUUAAUGCUUUGACCUAGAGGUGCCUCUUCCAAGUCAAGGUGUUGUCUGACCUCCUUUUUGGAGAGGGUGAGUUGGCAGGGGGAGCUAGGCCAGCUCAGGCAUCCUGGGGCCCAAUUUCUGUGGGCUUUAGUGGGAGGUUGGCACCCCCUUAUCUCCCAGGAUCCAUCUUGUCACAUGAGAAGGUUAGUGGCGGAGCGGUGAAUCCAAAGGAAGUCUCCAGAGUCCCAUCUUAACAUCCUGAACACCAGCUCAUCCUGCCUCUGGGUCAUACCUCCUCCCACAGCCUGGGUUGGCAGUGGCUAUAUCUUCCCCCACUCAUUCCUGUGGCUUGUUUGAAGUCAGUGGCUUGACCUCAGUCUGAUGAAUGAGAAGCCACACUGCUGGACCACAGUCAGCUACAUAAGCAUCUCCUACCACAUCAAGACCUUUCAUGGAGUCAGUACAAUGCAGCUCAGCCACUCUUUGUCUAUCUGUGAGAGCUACAUCCCUCAGGGACCGGCAAGAGGACUGAAGGACUGGUGUGGGGGACAUCUGAGCUUGCUGCACACAGCAGAAUGGCUCUGCAUCAUGUAUUCCCCUGGGGAUGACCAGCACUUUGGGUGGGGAGAGCAAAGAGCAAUGGGAUGAAAGGAUGAAGGAGGGGUUUCAAUGUCUGGCCGGUUUAGGAUCUCUGCAGCACAUCAAAGGCAGUGACGGAGGAUGGAAUCACAUCACCACCUUGUGAUCACCACCCUGCUCCAUGGUAGCGGGCACAAAUCCAGACCCUCCCCUUCAUGCUCUCUCUCAAAGAGAGGGGCCCCAGGGUGAGGUUGGAGUUAUGAUUUGCACGGAGCUGCCCAACCUCAAGGCAAAGGCUGGGACCAAGGUGCAGGAGGAGGUCUCCAGUAACCUGGCAGGGGAGGUGACCCAGCAAGCAGGCUGACCUGGCCAUGGGCAUGUCUGAUCUCUGCGUCCCGGUGUCCGACUGCGCUGCCUUGCCGGCUGCCCUGGAGAUUUUGGCUGCAGGAGGAAAACAGCUUGCUGGCAGCCGAGGGAAAUAUUUCAUGCUCAGAGCCCACUGUGAGCACUUCGGCGCUUGAACCGUUCUGUAGGGAGUCUGCCAUGCCCAUGGGGUUAAGGAAACUUGUCCAACCUCAUGCCUCAGUCCUAAGGGAAAGGCAAUGUUCAGGCUGAGUGCCCCAUAGUCAGUCUGCUGUAGGAACUCACUUUCUUGGGUGUCUCUGGUAACGAGACCCACAUCCAACAUCUUUCCUACCAAACUACACAGUUGUCCCUGCUAUGAGUGCAUGGGGUUGCUGCAGUGAUGGAGAAGAUGAAGAAGAGUGCUCCUGUGGUCUACCUGUGAGGCCACAGGCCAGUGGCCCCAGAAGAAACAAGAAGGUCUCUGUCCUAGCCACUUCUUUCCUGGAUUUUCCAAAUGCAUAAAACUGUUAGGGGGUGGGUUCAAUUUAGGAGGCUUUCCGAACUCCCGAAAGCUUCCAGAGGAUGACUGACACCAUUCUGGGAGAUGGAGAUGCUGACAUAUGUGAAGAUGAAGUGAUUUCUGCUCCCUGCUCACCAGAACAAGCCCUGAACAGGAAUUUUGGUUGCCACAGUCUUUAUGAGAGGGAAGUAAAAAUUCCCUCUUCAGCCCCACCAUUUUGAAGUGACUCUGCAGUCGGAGGCAUUAAGAGUACAUUAGGAGCAGCACGGUGAGAGACAGCCUAAUGAUGUCUUUGCAGUCAUCAUGGCAUCCUUCCACAUGCUGCCUCGCUGUAAGGAUCUGCCAUCCCCAAGGUGUGGGUGAAAAACAGCAUCAGCAAAUGUCCAUCUUUAUUAUCUUAAUGUGCUGGAAAGGAGUAGCUCAUGCAUGAGGACAUCACGGCGUGCAGGACAGAAGAGAAGCAUCACUGCUGCUUGGACUGACCCUGCAUCAAACAGAGCUGGAAAACAGUUUUUGAAGAUGUAUAAUCCUGACUCUAAUAAUCCCGUCAGUAGAGCUCCGGUCUCCAAAAUGCCUCACUUUUUAUCGUCCCACAUUACAAGAUUAUCACAGUCAAAUGGAGUAUUAUUAAAGGCUGGAUUUCUUCUUUCUCUUUGCUCUGCUGCUCAAACUACUGCAAGCAUCUUGUUAAACCGAAAUAUUGUGGGCAAUAGUUCAAUGCUGAAUUGUACCUUUGGGCAUUUGGCAAAUAAAUCCCAUGUUCCUCUUGGAGUAGAAAUAUAUUUUCCAGGAAUGCAGAAGAGCUUGAUUAAAAUGGAAACCUGAGAACCCUUCAACACAGAGUCUAGGUCUGGUGCUGCCACUUAAAAAGUGUGAGGUCUUGUGUGUGGAGAAAUGUGAAAUUUCAGAUACUGUCGUCCAUGGCAAGUGGUCCUGUGGAGGGGGAAGACCAGACUCAUCACAGGCACAAACCAGCUACGGCGCUGGGCAUCGUCAGGGUUUUUCUGUUCUCCAGAUCAGCUCAGGGCUUUCAACAUGAAGAACUUUGAUUUACCUGGGAUGA